GCCAAGUGGAACAAAUAUGUCACCUACUAGCAUAAAGAAAUACUUCUUUUGCUAAGUUGACAGUUUAGAACUUCAUAUUGUGAAAAGGUUAUCUCGGUUAAGCUGAAAAUUGAAUCUUAGAAUUGAAGGCUUCAUCCUUCACGGCUACUUGUGGGUACUGGUCUUGAUCCUUGGAGAGGGUGGAGGAAAUUCGCUCUUAACUGCGCUCUUACAGAUCUGUAAAGACCUCCAGAUUUCAACAAUUUCAACAAUCUCAACCUCAACUAAAGCUUCGAGAGAGAUGGUGGUUGAAGGUGAGAGCUUUCUGUGGUGCUUUGUUUGUAGAGCUUGGUGGGAGAAUCAGCUGGGUUAUGGAGCUGCUCUGUUUUUAUGAUUUUUUAUGGUGUUUUCAUGGCAGAAAAAGAUGGCUCCAUGACAGGUUUCUUAGCAAUUUUUCAUGGUGAUUUUGGGUGUAUCCUUAGGGGAUCAAAAUCAAUUUUUCUAUAAGUUUGAAUAAUAGUGUAAAAGUGUGUAUAAACAUCUCUUAAAGACUAUUAUACACUUUUAUACCAUUUUUUUUGUGCGGAGUACCCUUCAAAUGCACUGGUCUUUAAUUUUUGCCCCUCAAAUUGGUGGUCUU